rnacentral:rRNA from 1 species
CUACGGGAGGCUGCAGUGGGGAAUCUUGGACAAUGGGCGAAAGCCUGAUUCAGCAAUGCCGCGUGCGUGAAGAAGGCCUUCGGGUUGUAAAGCGCUUUUGUCUGGGAGCAAAUCCUGACCUCUAAUACAGGUUGGGGAUGAGAGUACCAGAAGAAUAAGGACCGGCUAACUACGUGCCAGCAGCCGCGGUAAUACGUAGGGUCCAAGCGUUAAUCGGAAUUACUGGGCGUAAAGCGUCCGCAGGUGGCUUGAUAAGAUAGAGGUGAAAUCCCUGGGCUCAACCUAGGAAUUGCCUUUAUGACUGUCUCGCUAGAGUAUGGGAGAGGGGGGUGGAAUUCCACGUGUAGCAGUGAAAUGCGUAGAGAUGUGGAGGAACACCGAUGGCGAAGGCAACCCCCUGGCCUAAUACUGACACUCAUGGACGAAAGCGUGGGGAGCAAACAGGAUUAGAUACCCUAGUAGUC